rnacentral:lncRNA from 1 species
GUUUCUUCUUCCUUUUCUUAAGUAUUUCUUUCAGACAAGUUGGCUUUUAUGCUUUUUAUUAAAGCAAGUAGAAAACUAUUCAUAAUUCGGUUAACUCUUGAUUAUCAUUCCUGAUUCUAACUAAUAAUACAGUUACUGACUCGCCGCUUUUAUAGCAUUCACUGUGAACCAGGUAGUAUUCUAGAGCUUCACAAUGAAUGGACUUAAUCCUCACUACCACUCGUUGAGGCUGAUACUCUUAUUAUCCACAUUCCACAGAUGGGAAACUGAGGUAUAAAGAGGUGGAAUAACCUGCUCACAUUCACACAGCUAGUAAAUAGUGGAGCUCAGUUCUGCAGCCAGUAGCCUGAGCUGUGGCUCAUCUUAACCCCUAUGUGUCUCAGCUGCCUCUGUCCCCCUGGGGAGCUUGGAAAAUCUCCCCUCCCUCUGCAGGCCUGCCAUUCAUUCUGACAGCUUAGACAAGGGGCCUUGAUGCAAGUCCUGGCUCUGCUGCUUACUACCUAUGUGACUUUAGACACAUUAUUUAGCCUUUCUGUGCCCCUAUUUCCUUAUCUGCAAAAAGAAUUUAAUAAUGUAUAUACUUCAUAGGGGUGUUGAGGGAUUAAACAGUGCGUGUAAAUUUCCCAGAUGUAUGGUUGCACAUGGCAAACACACCAUAAAUAUUUGUUUUUAUUUCCCUUUCAGAGUUGAAAAAGACUUGUAAUUAAAUGGAAAUAUUGUUAAUAUUACCCCCAAAACCCUAAACAGGGAAACAAGGCCCCAAAAGGGGACUUUCUUUAGAUAAUCAAAAGUUGACUGUGACUCUCCCGUCCCGCCACCCUUGCUGUGUGAACCACUGGGCAGUAACCCUGUGCUAUAAUUCAUGCAGGCUAUGGCCACUCGGAUGCAGAUGUUCUUCACCAGUCGCUUCUCGAAGCCAACAUUGCUACUGAGGUUUGCCUUACUGCUCUGGACACACUCUCUCUAUUUACACUGGCAUUUAAGUCACACCCCUUGUGGAAUGGGGAUGUCAGUGUCUUCAUACAUGGGGCCUCCCCUAGAGUGGCUCUCAAAGUGUGGUCUCCAGCUACAGCCCCUGGGAACCUCUCAGAAAUGUAAAUUCUCGAUCAGAAACUCUGAGCAUGAGACCCAAGCCCCACAGCUUAAGGACCAUGGCUCUACUGGACCCAUCAAAGAGGGCUUUAAAGUCCUUUCUAUUUUCUCUUGGAUAAUUUUAGUUUAAAGAUCUUAUGUAUAUAGGCAGUGAAGGUUCUGGAUGUAGAUGUUUGGCCAUGUACACAUGUAUUGAUGUUGAACAUGCAUCCUUUAGUGCAGAACAGCAAUGGCAACACUUCCUCUACUCUCUGCCUGGGCCCUACCAUGUGAACAGGCAGGAAACUGCAGGUGAGGCCCGGCAGGAGCAGGCACAUGGGCAGGCAGGGCACACACAGCACAUGUGUAUCGUGGCAGCACCAUAAGAGUAGUGACAGUUUCCUCAGUCGUCAGCCUACAGUCUUUUUUUUUUUUUUUUCACAAUACAGCAAUUUAUUUAGAUGCUUAAAAUGAAUACAAAGGGAAAUAAAGACCACAAAAUUAUACAUACUACACAGUGUGUCAUAUAUUAGAUGGUAUAAAUGAAUACUCCAGGGCAGUGUUUAACUAAAGAGAAAACUAAAUACCCAAAAUGCAGCACUCAUUUGGUUUGCUGCUUCAACAUAACACACUUUUAUACAGAUCUAAAAGGUGUCAAAAUUAGUAGCUGCAAAGUCAAUUCUUUUUUUUUUUUUUUGGUACCAGGGAUCGAACUCGGGUCCUUGC